GUUUUCAUUGUCAAAAUGAUCACCAGAGCUAACCUGUAAAGUAACAUUGUUAAGUAAAGCCUACACUCCUUUACCAACUCUUUCUCUAACGCAAACAACUGACGCUUUCAAUUCCAAGUCUCUCCUCCCUCUUCCCGCCCCUAAAGAGAACAUAUUUGCCACUAACAUUCGCUAAUUCAUAGAAAACUCAAACAACCUCUUAAAUCAAUCCUUUAGAGGAAUACCCUCCAACCAAUGAUCAUACCAAAAGUAAGUAUCAACACUACUAUUAAAUUUUCUCAUUCUCCUAACCUCUGAACUCUUUAUCCAAAUGAGUAGUAUCCCAACCAAUCCAAAAAAUUUCCUAGAAUCCUCACACCCAAAAAAAAAAAA
rnacentral:lncRNA from 1 species